rnacentral:rRNA from 1 species
AGGGAAUAUUGCGCAAUGGACGGAAGUCUGACGCAGCGACGCCGCGUGAGCGAUGAAGGUCUUCGGAUCGUAAAGCUCUGUCCUUGGGGAAGAAGGCGAAAGCUUGACGGUACCCAAGAAGAAAGCCCCGGCUAACUACGUGCCAGCAGCCGCGGUAAUACGUAGGGGGCGAGCGUUGUCCGGAAUUACUGGGCGUAAAGGGUGCGUAGGCGGCCCUUUAAGUCGGAUGUGAAAGCCCGCGGCUUAACCGCGGAAUGGCAUUCGAAACUGGAGGGCUUGAGUGUCGGAGAGGGUAGUGGAAUUCCCAGUGUAGCGGUGAAAUGCGUAGAUAUUGGGAGGAACACCAGUGGCGAAGGCGACUACCUGGACGAUAACUGACGCUGAGGCACGAAAGCUAGGGGAGCAAAC